rnacentral:rRNA from 1 species
GACGAACGCUGGCGGCGUGCUUAACACAUGCAAGUCGAGCGGAAAGGCCCUUCGGGGUACUCGAGCGGCGAACGGGUGAGUAACACGUGAGUAACCUGCCCUUCACUUUGGGAUAACCCUCGGAAACGGGGGCUAAUACCGGAUAUGACAUGGGAUCGCAUGGUCUUGUGUGGAAAGUUUUUCGGUGGGGGAGUGGCUCGCGGCCUAUCAGCUUGUUGGGUGGGGUGAUGGCCUACCAAGGCGACGACGGGUAGCCGGCCUGAGAGGGCGGACCGGCCACACUGGGACGUGAGACACGGCCCACGACUCCUACGGGAGGGCAGCAGGUGGGGAAGUAUUGCACAAUGGGCGGAAGCCUGAUGCAGCGACGCCGCGUGA